UUCAAGUUGUGAAUUGUGAUGAUUUUCAGGUUUUUCAAGUUUUGUACCGAAUUUCUGAGGAAGUUCUUGAAUUUUGUAGUUCUUGAGUUGCGAAAUCUUUUUCGGGUUUCUGUUUUGCCCUCCGACUGGAAUUUCUUGAAUUGCGGUUUGGUUUGAAAGAACAUGUCCGUGAUGGAUGGUCUGCCGUCCUACAGUGCGCUGAUAGUCGCGACGGGAACUUCACCGGCAAAGUGAUCCGUACUCCGUAGUCCGUAGUGAUAGACUGAAGAACUUGGCGAACCUUGGACAUGUCUGCGAGGAGCUGCUCGGACCGAGAGGCGAAAACGAUCUAGCUUGAAGACCUGCAAGUCUGUUGGACAGUAAUUCAUGAGUCUGAUUACUGGUCGAUUAAUUUGCUGCGACAUGGGAAGAUGAAGACUUUACUCCGACGAGAGAAGUGAAACUACAAUCAUUUCUUUCGUUGGUAUGGUUUAACGGCACUCAAAAUUGGAAGUCUUCCCUUUGAUGACCUCACCGGGAAUUGUUAAACAAAGGGGUUAUGAUUGAAAGUUUAUACGCCAAAUGGGAAAUGAGCAGCCAAGUCGGAAAACACUUACCGAUGGCUGCCGCCGAACCCGGUCCGGCACAGUGGAGCGUGCAAAAGUCGGCAGCCGUGGUGGUUGAAGUGGGUCGCUGGUCGAAUGGAUUCAUUUGAUUACGGCGGAUUUCUAGCCAUAAACGGAAAUAUACAUUCUAAUUGGAAGAACGGGCGAUGUUCGGAAUUACGGGCAACUGUCGGUGAUCGUGUCUGCUACUAUCCGUGCGAAGAUGCUGUUCGGUUAGAGCAUGGAGUAUUGAGCACUGUCUGAUCUGCCGCGCAUGAGGAAAUAUGCCGCGAUUCACGAAUAGUUUUCGAGCUUGAGUGAUAUUUUGAAUACUGGUACGUCGGUUGUGUUUAUCUUCCGCUUAUGUUUUUUUUUCGGACAUGAUGAGAUGGCAGAACGUUGCUUCAGCUUGUUUGAGUUUAGACGUUCAUUUUGAACAAGGGUUUGACCAGGUUGACAUUUGAACAUUGUGGCCUUGUGAUCAUCUUUUGUCGGUGAAAAUCUCAUUAAAGUUUUACGUAAUUUCUAACAA